UAGCCCCUUGAAAAAAUAAGGGGUCCAGCCUGCCCAGUGGUCCAAAAACUAAACGGCCGCGGUAUCCUGACCGUGCAAAGGUAGCAUAAUCACUUGUCUUUUAAAUGAAGACUAGCAUGAACGGCAAAACCUUCCUUAGCUGUCUCCCCCGUCCCCCUCCAAAAUUCGUGAUUAGGUGAAGAACCCUAAAUAAAACAGAAAGACGAGAAGACCCUGUCGAGCUUCAGCUAAAAAAAGAACUAAACGAUAAAUAAUCAGUCAUAAUCUUAUAAUAGCUUUGGUUGGGGCAACCACGGAGAAAAUAUUAAUCCUCCGGAAAUAGUGGUAGAUCCAAACAUUUCUCCACCAUACUAAACAAAGAGAACCAGUACCUGGUAAACGGAAAAAGUUACCGCAGGGAUAACAGCGUUAUCUCCUCUAAGAGUCCACAUUGACGAGGAGGCUUGCGACCUCGAUGUUGGAUUGGGGCACCCACAGAGUGCAGAAGCUCUGAAAGGUCGGACUGUUCGUCCGUUAAAGCCCC
rnacentral:rRNA from 1 species